CGCUCCAGUGGCCUAAUGGUUAGAGCAUCUGCCUCAGAUGCCUGAAGUCGUGGGUUCGAACCCCAGCGGAGUCG